rnacentral:rRNA from 1 species
GUAGUCUCGCACAGAUGCAUAUCAAUAAGCGGAGGAAAAGAAACUAACAAGGAUUCCCUUAGUGACGGCGAGUGAAGCGGGAAGAGCUCAAAUUUGAAAUCUUCAAGGUUUUACCUUGACGAAUUGUAGUUUAAAGAAGUGUUUUCUGUUGAAGUUUUGGUAAAAGUUCUUUGGAAUAGGACAUCAUAGAGGGUGAGAAUCCCGUAUUUGACCAUUAAUUUUCAGCUGUGUGAUACACUUUCAAAGGAGUCGGAUUGUUUGGGAAUGCAGUCCAAAAUGGGUGGUAAAUUUCAUCUAAAGCUAAAUAUUGGCGAGAGACCGAUAGCGAACAAGUACCGUGAGGGAAAGAUGAAAAGAACUUUGAAAAGAGAGUUAAACAGUACGUGAAAUUGUCAAAAGGGAAGCGUUUGACACCAGUGUUGUUUUUCUCGAAAAUCAAUUAAAAAGAGUUUGAUUUUGUUGUGUAUUGACCUUAACAGCUUGCAUUUCAAUUUUCUUGCUUUUUUUAAUGCACUUUUCGUUUAACAAGUCAACAUCAGUUUCUUUUGUUGUAAAAAGGUCAUUGGAAGGUGGCUUUCUUUUCGGAGAAAGUGUUUAUAGCCUUUGACUCCUGCAAUCGGAGAGACUGAGGUCUGCAGCGUAGAUCCUUCGGGGUUAGAUACAUUUGUGCUAAGUUAUAGCUUUUUAUAGACAACUUGUUGACUAUGAUUAGUCUUGUAGCUUACUCGCUUAUGCUAUUUUACCUACGCUUAGGAUGUUGAGCGCAUGUCUCUCUCU